rnacentral:rRNA from 1 species
GUUGUAUGGUUAAGUGACUAAGCGUACACGGUGGAUGCCUUGGCAGUCAGAGGCGAUGAAAGACGUAGUAACUUGCGAUAAGCCCAGAUUAGGUAGUAACAACCAUUUGAGUCUGGGAUUUCUGAAUGGGGAAACCCACGUGCAUAAGCACGUAUCCUUACCUGAAUACAUAGGGUAAGGAGGCGAACCGGGGGAACUGAAACAUCUAAGUACCCCGAGGAAAAGAAAUCAACCGAGAUUCCGAAAGUAGCGGCGAGCGAAAUUGGACUAGCCCUUAAGCUUUACACGCGUUAGACGAACGGUCUGGAAAGUCCGACGAUACAGGGUGAUAGUCCCGUAGUUGACGACGUGUGUUCAGUGAAAUCGAGUAGGGCGGGACACGUGAUAUCCUGUCUGAAUAUGGGGGGACCAUCCUCCAAGGCUAAAUACUACUGACUGACCGAUAGUGAACCAGUACCGUGAGGGAAAGGCGAAAAGAACCCCUGUGAGGGGAGUGAAAUAGAACCUGAAACCGUGUACGUACAAGCAGUAGGAGCACCUUCGUGGUGUGACUGCGUACCUUUUGUAUAAUGGGUCAGCGACUUAUAUUCAGUGGCAAGGUUAACCAUCUAGGGGAGCCGUAGGGAAACCGAGUCUUAACUGGGCGUUCAGUCUCUGGAUAUAGACCCGAAACCAGGUGAUCUAGCCAUGGGCAGGUUGAAGGUUGAGUAACAUCAACUGGAGGACCGAACCGACUAAUGUUGAAAAAUUAGCGGAUGACUUGUGGCUAGGGGUGAAAGGCCAAUCAAACCUGGAGAUAGCUGGUUCUCCCCGAAAGCUAUUUAGGUAGCGCCUCGGACGAAUACUACUGGGGGUAGAGCACUGUUAAGGCUAGGGGGUCAUCCCGACUUACCAACCCUUUGCAAACUCCGAAUACCAGUAAGUACUAUCCGGGAGACACACGGCGGGUGCUAACGUCCGUCGUGGAGAGGGAAACAACCCAGACCGCCAGCUAAGGUCCCAAAUUACUACUAAGUGGGAAACGAUGUGGGAAGGCUCAGACAGCCAGGAUGUUGGCUUAGAAGCAGCCAUCAUUUAAAGAAAGCGUAAUAGCUCACUGGUCGAGUCGGCCUGCGCGGAAGAUGUAACGGGGCUAAG